UGACUGUUGGCAACAAUGCCCAGGGCUC
rnacentral:piRNA from 1 species